GGUUUGACUCGGGCCUUUGAAGCCUGGGGCAGGCCCAAGGGGCAGGCCUAACCAUAAUGGCUGCCCCCCACCCCCCCCAGGGAUUCAGGGACUUUUAGCCGUGAUUGGUCUCUGUUGCCACAAGCUAGGCUGACUGCUGGCCUUCUGUGCACACUUGCCACUGACUUGCCUAUAACUGCCCUAAUUCUGGUAGUUUUAGGUCUGGCUCUUGUAGAGAUAUGAGGCAAAAGUCCUGUGGCUUUUCUUGCCGUUCACUGCUGGAAUAGAGGCUCAGGUCCUGGCUGGCCACUUCUCACGUUGGAUUUGCAGCCUACUGCAACUCAAAGCCUUGUUUAUUUAUUUUUCCCUCUGAAUUUCCAAACUGGAUGCUGGAGCAGCUGUUACAAGGAUUUGAGGGAAAAGUCAUCAGAGAUGUGAAACUGCUCAUGAGUUGUGGUUGCAGAAAAGGGAAAAAUGCUCAAGUGAAAGACUCGGAUCAGAGCCAGAUGAAGACUUUGGGAAGAGAGUGUGGGUUCCCUGUGCAGAGUCCAGUGACGAAAUCUGUGAACAAGGUAAGAGCAAGGGGUUGUGGCUGUGAAGGGUUUUCUUGCUUCCUUUUCCCCUUCCAAACCCGUUAUCGAAGCGUUAGACAUGAAAUGUAGGAUGUGUGUAGCACAGGAACUGAUAUUCCAAGUGCUAAGUGAAAGAGCCUAAAAAGAUCAAGCUAAAUAGGGCUUCUUUUUAAUGCAUUCCAUUAUGGUGGUUUGGGUUUUAGAACAGUUUGUAUUGUAUCCAAAUGAUCUACAUGUGAAUAAUUGUUACCAGCCUCCUGACACCAGGACCUAAUUAGGAAGUAAGAGCCUUAAAUAGGCCAUUUGCA
rnacentral:lncRNA from 1 species